ensembl:misc_RNA 7SK 7SK RNA
GGAUGUAAGGGUGAUCUGGCUGCGACAUCUGUCACCCCAUUGAUCGCCAGGGCUGAUUUGGCUGAUCUGGCUGGCUAGGCGGGUGUCCCCUCCCUCCCUCCCUCACCACUCCAUGUGCGUCCCUCCCGAAGCUGCACAGUCAGUCGAAGAGGAUGACCAUCCCCGCUAGAGGAGGAUCAGUCUUCAGUGAAGGGUAUACGAGUAGCUGUGCUCCCCUGCUAGAACCUCCAAACAAGCUCUCAAGGUCCAUUUGGGAAAUUAGCCAGCAGAUGGAGGAUCUCUGUCUCUCCCCCUUUCU